rnacentral:rRNA from 1 species
CGGGCGUUAAGUUGCAGGGUAUAGACCCGAAACCCGGUGAUCUAGCCAUGGGCAGGUUGAAGGUUGGGUAACACUAACUGGAGGACCGAACCGACUAAUGUUGAAAAAUUAGCGGAUGACCUGUGGCUGGGGGUGAAAGGCCAAUCAAACCGGGAGAUAGCUGGUUCUCCCCGAAAGCUAUUUAGGUAGCGCCUCGUGAAUUCAUCUCCGGGGGUAGAGCACUGUUUCGGCUAGGGGGCCAUCCCGGCUUACCAACCCGAUGCAAACUGCGAAUACCGGAGAAUGUUAUCACGGGAGACACACGGCGGGUGCUAACGUCCGUCGUGAAGAGGGAAACAACCCAGACCGCCAGCUAAGGUCCCAAAGUCAUGGUUAAGUGGGAAACGAUGUGGGAAGGCCCAGACAGCCAGGAUGUUGGCUUAGAAGCAGCCAUCAUUUAAAGAAAGCGUAAUAGCUCACUGGUCGAGUCGGCCUGCGCGGAAGAUGUAACGGGGCUAAACCAUGCACCGAAGCUGCGGCAGCGACACUGUGUGUUGUUGGGUAGGGGAGCG